rnacentral:rRNA from 1 species
UGCCUACGGGACGCAGCAGUGGGGGAUAUUGCACAAUGGGGGGAACCCUGAUGCAGCGACGCCGCGUGGGUGAAGAAGCGCCUCGGCGCGUAAAGCCCUGUCAGCAGGGAAGAAAAUGACGGUACCUGAAGAAGAAGCCCCGGCUAACUACGUGCCAGCAGCCGCGGUAAUACGUAGGGGGCAAGCGUUAUCCGGAUUUACUGGGUGUAAAGGGUGCGUAGGCGGAUUUUUAAGUCAGCGGUAAAAUGUCCGGGCUCAACCCGGGCCGGCCGUUGAAACUGGGGAUCUUGAGUGGGCGAGAAGUA